GACGAACGCUGGCGGCGUGCCUAAUACAUGCAUGUAGGACGCAGUUGCGAACGGGUGAGUAACGCGUAGGUAACUGCCUAUUCGAGGGGGAUAACUAUGGGACACGAUAGCUAAUACCGCAUCCUAGUAGAUGGAACUGAGUUGUAUUAGCUAGUAGGUAGGGUAAUGGCCUAUCUAGGCGACGAUACAUAGCCGACCUGAGUGGGUGAGCGGCCCCCCUGGGAUUGUGACACGGCCCAGACUCCUGCGGGAGGCAGCACGAGGGACUCCUCGGCAAUUGGGGGACCCCUGAGCGAGCAACGCCGCUGGAGUGACGAAGGUUUUCGGGUCGUAACGCGCUGUUGUUAAGGAAGCGGUACUUAUCCAGAAAGGGACGGCGAUCUACGUGCCAGCAGCCGCGGUAAUUC
rnacentral:rRNA from 1 species